rnacentral:rRNA from 1 species
GACGAACCGUGCGAACGUUGUUCGGAUUCACUGGGCUUAAAGGGCGCGUAGGCGGGUGAUCAAGUCCGGGGUGAAAUCCUUCAGCUCAACUGGAGAAUAGCCUUGGAUACUGGUCGCCUCGAGGGAGGUAGGGGCGGGCGGAACUUCCGGUGGAGCGGUGAAAUGCGUAGAUAUCGGAAGGAACACCUGUGGCGAAAGCGGCUCACUGGGACCACAACUGACGCUGAGGCGCGAAAGCUAGGGGAGCAAACAGG